GCCUCGAUAGCUCAGUUGGGAGAGCGUCAGACUGAAGAUCUGAAGG
rnacentral:tRNA from 1 species